AAAAAAAAAAAAUCUAACUACAGAACAGGCUCCCAGCUGCAAACUAUGGAGCUCUUUGUGCUAGUCAUUAGAGAGCUGGCUGAUCACAUGAUGCUGGUUCCUCCUCAUUUCCAUUUGUUAAAUGUCAGGAUUAGGGAUCAGAAUAGAAUACUUUCAGGCAUUUGUUUUUCCAUGUACACAGUUGCUACAGGGAUGUGUUGUCAAUGCAAGUGGGAGAAGUGCCUAGUUAUCGGAGCAACAACACAACAGUGUAAGUAAGGUUCUUGUAAAACAGAAAGUCAAUGUGACACUUCAACUCGGAUCAAGUCCUUUGGCACAGGAACCCAGCUAGUUGUUUCUGGCAAAGAAGCAAAAUUUGAUCCUAAGAAGAUCCAGACCCUGUUUCUUACUGAACAAGAUGGAAAAGGAACACACAUGUGCCUCAUUGAGGAUUUUUUCCCAAAUGUUAUUAAGGUGACUUGGAAAAGUUCAAAUGAAGAGAAAAAUGCAAUACGUGGGGAAAUUUGGUCCCCGGAUGAUAAGCAAAACUCAUACUCAGUGAGUAGCUGGCUGACUGUUGAUGAUCCUAACAAGACAUAUAACCUCACAUAUGAACAUGAAAGCGGACGAGAUUCUAUCCUUCUCCAAUCCCAAGGUAUAUUCUCUAUAUUUAAGCCAGUUCUCUGUUUAGUGGGUUCAUUGUUUCUUUGCAAUUCAACAAUAAAAUGCAUUAUUGU